UGGGGAAUAUUGCACAAUGGGCGCAAGCCUGAUGCAGCCAUGCCGCGUGUGUGAAGAAGGCCUCGGGUUGUAAAGCACUUUCAGCGAGGAGGAAGGUGGUGAACUUAAUACGUUCAUCAAUUGACGUUACUCGCAGAAGAAGCACCGGCUAACUCCGUGCCAGCAGCCGCGGUAAUACGGAGGGUGCAAGCGUUAAUCGGAAUUACUGGGCGUAAAGCGCACGCAGGCGGUUUGUUAAGUCAGAUGUGAAAUCCCCGGGCUCAACCUGGGAACUGCAUUUGAAACUGGCAAGCUAGAGUCUCGUAGAGGGGGGUAGAAUUCCAGGUGUAGCGGUGAAAUGCGUAGAGAUCUGGAGGAAUACCGGUGGCGAAGGCGGCCCCCUGGACGAAGACUGACGCUCAGGUGCGAAAGC
rnacentral:rRNA from 1 species